rnacentral:rRNA from 1 species
GGAGUUAGCCGGUGCUUCUUCUGUGAGUGAUGUCCUUCCUGCCGGUUAUUGACCCGCAGGCCUUCUUCCUCACUGAAAGUGCUUUACAACCCGAAGGCCUUCUUCACACACGCGGCAUGGCUGGAUCAGGGUUGCCCCCAUUGUCCAAUAUUCCCCACUGCUGCCUCCCGUAGGAGUCUGGGCCGUGUCUCAGUCCCAGUGUGGCUGAUCAUCCUCUCAGACCAGCUACGGAUCGUCGCCUUGGUGAGCCGUUACCUCACCAACCAGCUAAUCCGACAUAGGCUCAUCCGAUAGCGCGAGGCCCGAAGGUCCCCCGCUUUCCCCCGUAGGGCGUAUGCGGUAUUAGCCUGGGUUUCCCCAGGGUUAUCCCCCACUACCGGGCAGAUUCCUAUGCAUUACUCACCCGUCCGCCGCUCGCCACCAGGGAGCAAGCUCCCCGUGCUGCCGCUCGACUUGCAUGUGUUAGCGUCGCCGCCACGCGUUCAUCUGAGCCGAGAGUACAACUACUCGA